UUGUUUUUUAGUUUUGUUUUGUUUGUUUAGAUUUAUAAAAUGUCAUGGUAAUUCUUAUAAGUGAACUUGUCUCUCUCUGGGUUUGGACACAACUCAAAACUAAAAUCUCGUUGUUUAAAUGUAUGUGAAAAUACCUAUUUGUUAUCCUCACUGGUUUGAUAGUAGCCUUCCAGAAGCACAAGCAGACUAGGAGUCGUUCGUUAUACGUUUGAUGUGAUGGUGUGAACAAGAAGUGAGGAAAAAAGCCAAUUCCAUUAUUAUGUGAAAGCAACAACCUCAAAACAAUUCUGUUUUUUAUUUAUUAACUGCUCACUUUAAUUGCUCCAUAACCACAAAGGAAAUAUCUUUCAUUUAAGGCACUACAGAGAGAGUACUGUCUGAACAGGCCUUAUUGCUUACUAUCCUUCAUGAAAAAAUGUGGCUUUUAAUGAAAUAUGCAUAAAAGUCAUUUCUGAUUUGUGACCUACAUAAUCAUACCUGUCCUGAGAGGCUUGGCUCAAAAAUUGUUCUAUUCCAAAUAAUUAAAUUUCUCUUUUGUAUUAUUUCUCAUUAAUUCAAUAUUCUUCUAAAAUAUAAAACUCCCACAAUGGUUUUAGCAUUCAGCCUUUCAGAUUUAUGAGCUAUUUUUAUGCUAAUACUGUUCUGUAAGACAAGACUCCUUGAUCAAUUGCCAGGUAACUGUUCCAUUCUUUUCCCAGCACCCUGCUAAUCCAGCACAGUAACUUAUUUUUAAUUGAGUCACUUCAUUGUGCAGAAAAUUCCUUUUAAUUAUACCCAUAAACAUUAACAGUAUUUUACAGAAACAAUUAUUUAAACAUAAUCAUUUUCCUUCUCUUCACCUCCUUUUUUUCCCUUUUUUUUUCUUUUGUGUGUGUGUUCUUGGAAAUAAUAAGUUCCAAAACAAAGAAGGGACAAACUGGAAAAAUUAAAGAAGCUUAUGGUCAUUAAAAUUAUUCCCCAAAGUUCAAGACCACUUUUAUUUAGAAAUAAGUAAGCUCUAAGAUAAUUACUUGAGAAGCUUGAAAGUGAUUUCAAUGUACUUUUAGGGGGAAAAAAAAGAAAGUACAGAUGUUCUGCUUGUCUGCAGGGAAAUCUUAAACUAUAUCUGAACCGAACAGGAGUUGCACAUACAAUGAGACUGUAAUAAUAACUAAAAAGAAGGGAUUCAGGUUGCAACUUUUUCGGGUUGAAAUAUGAGAGACUGCAAUAAAUAUCUUAUUCUUUAAAUAGCAACUUAAGAGUGCAUUAUAAUUUGUCAUCUAAAUGCAGGAAUGCAGCUAAAACUCUAUGGAUGUAAGAAACGUAAGAACUUUCAAAUUCUGGUCUGUUUCAAACUUAGGUUCUGCCACACUUAUUUCACUAAUACUGAAAUGAAUUUCACCCUUGUUUAAAUGUUCAGUCUAAGGCCAACUGCAAUGACCUCUCAAAAGUGACCUUUCAUUACUGUCAAACUUGCAGUAAUUUGGUUCAUUGAAGCUAGAAUACUUAAAAACAAACCAAAAACAACAACAAGAAAAACCAUCAGCUUUUACAUCAUCUGUAUUAAUGAAUCCUGAAUCACUUUCCACUCUUGUAUUUAUUAUUUGUCAUAUUUGCAUUUCUUUAUGUGACAAAGAAGAACAUAAAUGGUCAACAUAUUUUUCUUGCAAAAUCAGAUGAGGAGCAGAUGUUUUGCACUCAGUACUUCUAGCUGUAUGCUGAGAGAUGAUGAACAGGUGCAGAAGUCAAGCUGCUACUUAGCACUGUAAAAGAAAGCAUUUCUGAGUUGGACAGGAAUUGAGGAAAUAUCUGGGAAUGAUGUCUCCAUUUAAUCAAAUUUAACACUGGAGUGUUGUCAUAGAAGAUGACGCUCACUAUGUUAUUGUAACCAGGAUUAUCUAAAGCUUUCAAGUCUGGUGUUGGGUUGAGUCCAGUGAGUUUUGACACAUGGUUACCUUGAGUGGAACCCCUGAUCUCAGUGCUAAGAUUUCAACUUGAAGAACUUCAGCCAGUGGGAAGCCCACAGAAUCAGAUGGAGAAGAAUGGCAUCCCAUGGAAGGGACCCUAUGUGCAGCAGGGAAAGACAGGAAAAAUGAAGGAGCAGCAGAUGAAUAAGCAGGCAGGAUCCGCAGAGAUCCAUAUGGUAACCUCAUCAGUUAAAAUGUGUUAUGAGUGUAUCUUCUGGGGCCAACUAAUGCUCUUUUUGCACUUUCAGUAGCUGUGGGAGGAACUGACAAUAUUUAUUUUGAAAUGCUGUGAAUUGGUCUUAAAUGAGGUAGAUGAUAUGGUAUUGAAGAUUUGGCUGUACUCCAUAGAGUAAUAAAGUCAUAAAGUCACGUGGUUAUCUGAAGAGAAAAGAUCAGUAAUUAGAGCACAGUGACAUAAAUGUUUUGCUUUGGAGUGACAGGUUAGGAGAGCCAGCUGAUCUUAAGUAUCUGCCAUGAGGCACACUCUUAGUUGGUUGCAAAUGCAAUUAGGAUUAGCUGAGCACUGGAAGUUGUCUAGGCACAUAACUCAUUACUUAGCAAAAUAUUGCUUCCGAUAUGCAAGUUAUUCUGGAAGGACAAGGGAGUAGUUAUGUUUUGGCCAUAGGGUACCAUAAGAUUUCUGAGAGGUUGGAGCACCACAGAAGUGAUAUUCCUGAAACAAUUUAACUAAUACAGGUAUUUGUUUCGCAAGAAGUUUUAUUCUCUGAUAAAAAAUAAAAUCAGAACCGGAUAUUUGAAAGUUGAAGAAGAAUGAGAAACAUGGUGAAGAAACAGAACAUUUCCACUCCUUUCCUCCUGAUUCUGAGAGUGUAUGGCCAUGUGUGUAUGAAAAAAGUGAGAGUGAUUAUUUCUCCCACCACGUUAGAGAAGUCAUCGUGGAUAUGUUAAAUAAGUUGCUGCCUGUUGACUCUCAAAGGAGUGAAGUUAGUGAGUUGCAGACUGCUUAAACCAGACCUUACACACUUUGUUUUUCUUCCUGCUUAAAAAUGAGAUAAACAUGCAAGAAGAUCACUGAGGGGAGGCCUGGGGGAAGAGUAUGAGGGUGUACUGUUCUAGAAUCUGCAGAGCCUGAAUCUCUAAGUAGAUUUACAGUGGCUAAGCUUUGGUUAUAAAUAAUAGAAGGAAGAGGUGGUAUGUUUUGUAGAAAAACAUCAGCAUAAACAAAAGUCUUGCACAAUAGAUGUGGUUUGUGAAAUAUGAUGCUAAUAGGAGUCUCAAGACAUCCAGUAAUGAUUUAAACCAAAGAUAUAGUUUUAAAAUACUUAGUAGAUGCAGCUGUCAUUUGGUAAAUAUAUUCCUAUUUGUUUUGGUUUGCUACUGCUGGUGUGAGGUAAAUGACCAGUGAACAGUUUGUGGUUAUAGAAAGCCAAAUCAGUGUUAUAUGACAGGUGAAAAUCCAAGUGGUAAUUUGGUUAUCUAAUUUAAAGGAAUUAAAUUUUGUCUAGUAACUUGAAAAACAGUUAAUUGAAAAUCAGUCUUUAUCAUGUGAAUAAAUAUCUUCAUUGUUCAGUAUCUCUCUGAAUUUCUGAACUGAGGUCUAAUUCAAAAAUUAUUUUACAUCAAGUGUUAACUGAUAUUGUGAUAUCAAGUGUUUAAGUUAAAGUCCAUCCUUUCUGAAAGUGUAACAAUUUGUAGGAAAGAUUUCAGGGAAGUUCUCUGUUGUGUUUUGGGUACAGAAUCUAAGUUGAGAAGCAAGAAUAAUAAAGGAGCUGCUUGCUCCCUCUAUAAUGCUAUUUUGUGUAAUAUUUGUACUGACUGAAAAUGCAAAAGUGAACUAAAAUACGUCAUACUUCUCAUUUGGCAUUUAAUUUAGAGUCAUAAAAUCUUCAGAGAAGCCUUCAGAAUCCAAGAGCACACAAAUCACUUUAUUUCUAGUUGAGUGCGUUCAUCAAACAGGCAGCUUGAAACUGGCACGGCUUGAAAUAAGUAGGUCUUUUCAGGAAGGAGGGCAUGAUUAUGACAAGGAUAUGGCUGACAGGGCAUUAUCCUCCUAAAGGUAUGUUUUCCUAUUUGUCAGACUGCUUGAAUGCUUCCAGGGAAGGGGCAUCCACAGACUCUCUGGGCAACCUGUUCCAGUGUC